GACGAACGCUGGCGGCGUGCUUAACACAUGCAAGUCGAACGGAAAGGCACUGCUUUUGUGGGGUGCUCGAGUGGCGAACGGGUGCGUAACACGUGAGUAACCUGCCCUUGACUUUGGGAUAACUUCAGGAAACUGGGGCUAAUACAGGAUAGGAGCUCCCGCUGCAUGGUGGGGGUUGGAAAGUUUCGGCGGUUGGGGAUGGACUCGCGGCUUAUGAGCUUGUUGGUGGGGUAGUGGCUUACCAAGGCUUUGACCGGUCGGCGGCCUGAGAGGGUGACCGGCCACGUUGGGACUGAGAUACGGCCCAGACUCCUACGGGAGGCAGCAGUGGGGAAUAUUGCACAACGGGAGGAAGCCUGAUACGACGACGCCGCGGGCGGGAAGACGGCCUGCGGGUUGUAAACCGCAGUCGCCUGUGACGAAGCGUGAGUGACGGUAAUGGAUAAAGAAGCACCGGCUAACUACGUG
rnacentral:rRNA from 1 species